UGUCACCCUGUGCCACCUCCUCUCCCAGGACGGGUCAGAUUCACGCCAGAACUUGUCAUCGCCGCCCCGGCGGGCAGGGGAAGGCUGGCUCCUUCCUACGGUGACCGCGUUCGGUCCCUUUUAAGUUUGUUUUACAAACACGUCCGACGGAAAGCCAGAACCUGUUUACACACCGCCUUAACCGCCGCCAGGAGGACAGUGAAACAGCAUUUCCCGUGUACCCAUCUUCAUAAAUAAUGCCUGGGGGAAGAAUCUACAACUUCUCUGUCAGUCCUUAUCCAGAGGUGCAGAGGGURGGUUGGUUCUCCCAGCACCCACAGGUCUGGCUGGUCUCAAGCAGGAUAAGAAGGUUGGUGGUUAAGAGGACACAUUGUCAUGGGCCCAGCGCAGGCAGCUCUGAUGAGAACUAAGGUUUGGCACCUGUAAAAGUCAAAAGAUGGAGGUGUUGACUCUGAGUGCUUGUGCUUCUGCACAGGAGGAGAACUGAUGUAACUAACUUACAUGUCAAGAGAGAGGCAUGUGCCUGCUUGUAAACUGGAAAUACGGAAUAAUCAUCUGCACACACACACACUCUCAGACAGGACUAAAAGCCUGCAGACAUUUCAGGAUUGAYAGCAUGCCAGACUCUGCAGAGAGCUGGUUUGGUUUUCUAAAACUUGUAAAACAAGAAUUCCCAGAAGGCAGCCAGUCUGCAGGCAAUUAGGAGCAGCCCACAGCCCCUCUGCUGGAGCUCUUCACUUGUACUGAGCUUUGUGUCGCCGAGCUGGUGUGGAUGGUGUCACACAAGCUGCUGCACAAGGCACAGUAGGAGCACAUCAAAUUGCUGCCUGAGCUUCUUCUGCAUUGUCCAUUYGAGGGUUUUCAGUGUCAUUUUUGUGCCAAGGCCUGCAAGCCUCUGUGCUGUCCCUGGGAGCAGCAUGUUGUUACACUUGGGGAAAAAGAAAUCUCUGUCUUUCAGAAGCCUUUAAAAUUUUCCCCCAGUCAUUAAGACCCAAUAAAACUGUUAGCACCUCCUCAGAGAUCCUAUUUUCUCAUGCCAUCUUUCAGGUGUGCUCUAUGGGCUUCCCUGUUUAGCACAUGCAGGAUACAUUUUAAAAGCCUCAUGAAUUAUUUUGGGUAAAGCGAAAGGAAGCAAACUGCUGGCUUUGGAGGGAGGUUAAUGUGGCAGUAGUUCCACAAAUGGGUAUCCUGGAUCUGAGCCCAAGUCUCUGUCCUUCCCAAUCUCCUUUCCACUUAGGUUUGAUUUCCAGGCAGGCAGCUGGAGCACGGGAAGCACGGGACUGGCUGGAGCUGCUGUCCAGAGGCAGGGAGUGCUGGGGUGCAUCCAGUGCUGAGUGCUUGCCUUGAGGCUGGAGGGCAUCCCUGGGUCUCCUGCCCUGCUUGGUGCAGAGUUUGGAUACAACUGGAGAGAUGUGACAUGGAGACACCAGAGAUGAUUUAGAAAUGAGCAAAUGAUGGUAGAGAAAGGGCAGCAUGCAGACAGAGGACAUCACCAACAGCGUCUGUAGGAGGCAAAGGAAAUUCCUGCAGGAGUCAUCUCAUUGGAUUUAUCAGUCUGCCUGAGUGUAUCCUCAGGGUCUGUUUCACUUUUUCAAAUUCUGGACUUUGUGUUAAGCUUUAUUGGUCCAAAGGGACAAAAACUAGAGAGCCAACGUUUUACAAAACUUAUUCCAGCACUCUUCCAUUAUAAGAAUAUUCUUCCKUCUUUCCUUGGCACUGCAAAGGCCUGCAUAAAUUUAAUUACAUCUAUUAAUUUUGCAGCAGUGUAUCCCUUCUCCCUCUGUCAAAUCACCAUGCAUUGGAUUCUCAAUUUAGGAUUUCUUUUAUUUCAGAAAUUAGCACAGAAAGGUUCAUAUUUGCAGAGAGGAAAGGGCAUUAAAACUGCCUUAGAAAAAAKAUUUUCUCACACAAACACAUUUUUUGCAAGUAAUUUUCUCUUUUGAAAAUUUUUCUGGGUUUUGUCUCUUCAAAAUUUAAUGUUUUCAUUAACAAGUAUGGAUUUGUGUAGAUUUCUUUAAAAAAUAUAAAAGGGGGUUAUUUUUUUUUAUUCCUUUCCCCCAAACCUGUUGAAAACAAUUAACAUAAAAAGCUACUUAAGAACUCAGUUUGCAACAAUCCCAAUAGGAAUAAGACAUCUAAGAGCUAGACAUCUAAAUAGCUUAACUAAUUGCCUCCUGACAAAGAGACUUCAUGGAACAAGCCAUUCAGCCCACACAAGUGUCUUCCUUACCUUCAGAGAACACCAUUACAGCUGUCAAAGUGCUCCUAGACCUGGUAUAAGCUAAGGRUUAAUUGAGGAUAGUGGGAUUACUAAAUAUCUUGAUUUUUGUGAAUAGAUCUGAUGUGAAUCUCUGCUUUCCAUGAGCUUUUUUGUACAGAAUCAAUCAGCCUAAAGAUGGAACAGCAGAUGCAAUAUUGUCMCUUUCCACAGCUGUAGCUGUAACAAGGGUACUUUCUUCUCUUUCCUCACUGACAGAAUAUCGCUGGCAUGUUAAACCUGCUACAAAUGGCAGCACCUUGUGGGUGGGGGUAAAUGACCCCUCUYUCAUGAGGCUGCCACGCCUCAGCAGCCAGCCUAAGAUGCCAUUAGUUAAUCCAGGGCUCAUUUUUGGAGGAUAUGUGAGAGAUGAAAGUAGGAGCAGGCACUGUCUGCCUGGAGACUGCAGAGGUCCUCAUUGAAGACUGGUACCAGGGGGUGGAGAGAGCAAGGUCUGGAGAUACCCCAAAGCUCCAUUCAUCAAACCUCUGCAUCGUCAUCUCCAGCAGAGAGGGAGCUGGGAGGGAUCACAGGCUGGGGCUGCCACAGGCUGCUGGGAAAGCACAUUCUGGGCUGAGAUCCCCCAGAGGCUGAGAUCCUCCUGGAUGUUUAGUUUUGUGUCAGGUUGUCUCAGUCCUUAGAGCAAGGCUGGGCUCAUGCCUGAGACUCGGACACUGCUACAGUAGCACAACAAAAAUCACUGCAAAAGCUGYCCUGAGUCCAGAUAUCAGCGAGAAGUCCGGGCUGGACAUUGGACAAGAGGAACAGUGAGCACACCAGAGCAGGUCAAGAGCGUGAUCAGACAUUAGAAACAGAGAGGAUGAGAAGCUCACACAGGACCAGGUGCUGGAGCAAGGCAAGGACAGAAGCAGGAACCAGGGUGAAGUAGGCAGAAACAUAGCUUCAAAUAUUGCCAGAAGGAGCUGCAGAGAUGACAUCUUCCAGUGU